UUUUUUUUUUUUUUUUUUUUUUUGAGACGGAGUCUCGCUCUGUCGCCCAGGCUGGAGUGCAGUGGCGCGAUAUCGGCUCACUGCAAGCUCCGCCUCCUGGGUUCACGCCAUUCUCCUGCCUCAGCCUCUCCGAGUUGCUGGGACUACAGGCGCCUGCCACCACGCCUGGCUAAUUUUUUUGUAUUUUUAGUAGAGACGGGGUUUCACCGUGGUCUCGAUCUCCUGACCUCGUGAUCCGCCCGCCUCGGCCUCCCAAAGUGCUGGGAUUACAAGCGUGAGCCACCGCGCCCGGCGAGCGUGUGCAUCCUUGACAGACAUCUGAAAUGGAUCAUCAUCUUGCUGGGAGUUGGAGGGUUUUUUCUCACCACCCCUCUGUUCAUCCUCUGAGCUGGUAUAAGCUGAACUGUGGACGUCCUGCCACUGGGAAUUAAGUUAAAGUAGAAAAAAAACAGAAUGUAAUGGGGAGUCCCCUCACAAGAAGAAUUUGGAUCAAAGCAUGGCAGUGAGGGGAAGCAUUGAGCAGGCUAUACAGAAAGCAUGGUGCCGGCAUCUGCUUCUGGUGAGGGCCUCAGGAAGCUUACAAUCGUGAUGGAAGGUGAAGAGGAAGCCAGUGCAUCACAUGGCAAGAGAGGGAGCAAGAGAGAAGGGGACAGUGCCGCACACUUUAAAAAAAAACCUUAACUCACGAGACAGAACUAACUGAGUGAGAGUUCACUCAUCACCAAGGGAAUGGUGCUAAGUCAUUCAUGAGGGAUCCCCCCGCCGCCCCCGUGAUCUACUCACCUCCCACCAGACCCCACCUCCAACACUGGGGAUUACAUUUCAACAUGAGACUUGGAGGGGACAAACAUCCAAACCAUAUCAGUCUUCAACCCCUCUUCCUGACAUACAACUCCUAAAACUCUUAGAAUCUCCAAAGUGCUGUCUUUUUAUGUGUUAAUAAUUGGCUAGUGGCUCAUAGCCCCUAGGUAGCUUCAGGAUGGGGGCUGGUCACUGGAAAGACCAAGUCAUAAUUAGAGGGUUGGGACUUUCAGCCCACCCCCAACCUCUGGGGAGGAGAGAAGGGCCGAAGUUUAAGUUGAUCACCAAUGGCCAGUGUUUUAAUUAAUCAUGUGGCCUGGCGCAGUGGCUCAUGCCUGUAAUCCCAGCACUUUGGGAGGCUGAGGCGGGUGGAUCACAAUGUCAGGAGAUGGAGACCAUCCUAGCUAACACGGUGAAACCCCAUCUCUACUAAAAAUACAAAAAAUUAGCCAGGCGUGGUGGCGUGUGCCUGUAGUCCCAGCUACUGAGGAGGCUGAGGCAGGAGAAUCACUUGAACCCGGGAGGCGGAGGUUACGGUGAGCUGAGAUCGCACCACUGCACUCCAGCCUGGGUGACAGAGCGAGACUCCGUCUCAAGAAAAAAAACCAAAAAACAAAUAAAAUAAAUAAAAAUAAUGAAUCAUGCCUGUGUAAUGAAGCCUCCAUAAAAACACAAAAGAAUAGGGUUCAGAGAGCCUCUGGAUAGCUGAAUAUCUGGAGGCUCCUAGAGAGUGUCAUGUCCAGAGGGCAUGGAAGCUCUGUGCCCCUUUUUCACCCUAUGCACCUCAUCAUCUGUAUGCUUGGUAAUAUCCUUUAUAAUAUACCAGUUAAAUGUAAGUGUUUCUCUGAGUUCCUUGAGCCACUCUAGCAAAUCAAUGGACCUCAAAAAGAGGAUCAUAGGAAUCCCAACUUGAAGUCAGUUGGUCGGAAGUUCUGAGGCCCAGACUUGCGACUGACUGAUAGGAAGUAGGGGCAGCUUUGUGAGACUGAGCCCUCAACCUGUGGUUUCUGCUGCUAUCACCAGGUGGAUAGUGUUGGAACAGAAUUGGAGGGAGCCCAGCUGGUAUCCACUGCAGAACUGCUUGCUUGCUUGCUUGCUUGGUGUGUGAGGAGAAACCCACACACAUUUGGCCACAGAAGACUUCUGUGGUCACACAGACUUCUGUUCAUCACAGAAGUCUUCUGCGAUGAUUGUUGUGGUGUGAAAGCAGAGGAGAAACACAGUUUGAAUUUUUCCACUUCCACACCAUGUUUGCUGAACAUUGCUCAAUGUAGGCUUGGGAUGGUUGGUCCGGGGUAAGUAAUAGAAGGUGCUUAAAAGUGCUCCUCAACAGUUUUGAAGUCUGUGGGACAAAAAAAAAGUGCUCCUCAAAGGGGAGGCAGGAUAGUGUCAUGCUUAGAUAUAUGGAAUCUGGAUCCAGACUGGGCUCUGGUAUUUCCUGGUGAUGUGGACAACUUUACUUAUAUGUAAACUCAGUUGCUUCAUCCUAAAAUGGCAUAAUAACAGUAACUACCUCCUAGGGUUGUUACAAAGUUUAAAUCUGUUAACAUACAUAAAAAAGACUUUUGCUUGUCUCGUAGUAAGCACUCAACAAAUGUUAGCUAUUUAGAUUCCAAACAUAUAUAACGUUCAAUUAUAAGCCAUGGAAACGUCUUAUGUAUGGUAUAGCAGAAAGAACAGGGAUUUUCAAAAUAGCCUAAGUUAUAUAGUCUUGAGCAAGUUGUAUGGCCACUGUGAGCCUUGUCUGAAAAAGGAGGAUGAUUACAUCAUAGGAUAGUUGUGAGAAUUAAAUGAAAUAAUAUAUGUGAAACACUUAGCAAAGAGUGGCACCUAACUGAGGCUUACAGUGUUUCUUCCCCUUUUUCCUAUGUCAGUAAUAUGCUGUCUUAUAAUUAUUUACUAUUAUGUUCUCAACCAGGAGUCUUAAGCUUUUAUAAUCUCCAAACUGGCUAGCACAUAGUAGAAACUCAAUAGAGUCAUUAACUGUUCAAAUGAGCCUCCAAGUCUGGGGCAUGAGACCUAGAAUAUCUCCCCUGUUGAGUGUUGCCUGGUCAGAGGACAGUUCCCACCCCUCCACCAACAACUUCAAUUGUUCUAGGUGUAUAUUUCUCCCCUUUCUUUAUGAAAACUGCUCUGUGGUCUGUUGGAGGCAUCUAUGUCUGCUUUACUCACAUUGCUCAACCCACACUUGGAGAGAAAUGUGUUUGCAUAAAUACUAGCAGAUGAAUUUUUUAAAUAUCGCUUUUUCUUUCCUGGCACUCUGUAAGAGAAAUGAGCAAAUAUAAACAGAGGAGUAUCACACUAGAAAUAUAGCAGAUGGGCUUCUGCUGGGGAUCUGGACUUUCCUGGAGUAUACACAUUUGGGAUAUAUAGGAUUAUGACAAAAUCCACUUGUAAUGUUCAUGCUUUUUAGUUCUUGGGCACAAUAUUAAUUGCUUAAAGACUGGGCUUAAUGCACACUUUCAGCCCCAAUUCUCCCUUUGGGAAACAAGCAGGAUCCUAUAAACACUCUGUGUAGUAGGGAUUGUCUUCCUAAGCCUAACAUAAAUCCAGUUUGAUUGAGGAAUCAAGGAGAAGUAAGAAAAAUAAAGUUUUUCUUCACUCCGUACUGCAAUGACAGGGGAAAAAAGGAAACUCUUCACUCCUCAUUUCAGAUGCCUUCAUGCUUAUGACCAAGGGCUUAUUAUGGAUAUUAAAAAGUGGAAACUGACUACAUAUACUCCUGACAUAUCUUGAUUUAAGCCACCUCAACUCAGACUACACAUCUUGAGGAAUACAUUUAUAUGCAGGCAUUGACCAUG